rnacentral:rRNA from 1 species
GUCCAGACUCCUACGGGAGGCAGCAGUGAGGAAUAUUGGUCAAUGGGAGGAAUCCUGAACCAGCCAUGCCGCGUGCAGGACGACGGCUCUACGAGUUGUAAACUGCUUUUGUACCGGGGUAAAAUGCCUUACGAGUAGGGUUUUGAAAGUACGGUACGAAUAAGGAUCGGCUAACUCCGUGCCAGCAGCCGCGGUAAUACGUAGGGGGCGAGCGUUAUCCGGAUUCCCUGGGUGUAAAGGGAGCGUAGACGGCCAAGCAAGCCAGGGGUGAAAGCCCGGGGCCCAACCCCGGGACUGCCGUUGGAACUGCACGGCUGGAGUGCGGGAGGGGCAGGCGGAAUUCCUGGUGUAGCGGUGAAAUGCGUAGAUAUCAGGAGGAACACCGGCGGCGAAGGCGGCUUACUGGACUGUAAAUGACGCUGAGGCUCGAAAGCGUGGGGAGCAAACAGGAUUAGAUGCCCCAGUA